CCUACGGGUGGCAGCAGUGGGGAAUAUUGCACAAUGGGCGCAAGCCUGAUGCAGCCAUGCCGCGUGUAUGAAGAAGGCCUUCGGGUUGUAGAGUACUUUCAGCGGGGAGGAAGGCGAUAAGGUUAAUAACCUUGUCGAUUGUCGUUACCCGCAGAAGAAGCACCGGCUAACUCCGUACCAGCAGCCGCGGUAAUACGGAGGGUGCAAGCGUAAAUCGGAAUUACUGGGCGUAAAGCGCACGCAGGCGGUCUGUCGCGUCGGAUGUGAAAUCCCCGGGCUCAACCUGGGAACUGCAUUCGAAACUGGCAGGCUAGAGUCUUGUAGACGGGGGUAGGAUUCCAGGUGUAGCGGUGAAAUGCGUAGAGAUCUGGAGGAAUACCGGUGGCGAAGGCGGCCCCCUGGACAAAGACUGACGCUCAGGUGCGAAAGCGUGGGGAGCAAACAGGAUUAGAUACCCGGGUAGUC
rnacentral:rRNA from 1 species